rnacentral:rRNA from 1 species
AUUGAACGCUGGCGGCAUGCCUUACACAUGCAAGUCGAACGGCAGCACGGGUGCUUGCACCUGGUGGCGAGUGGCGAACGGGUGAGUAACACAUCGGAACGUACCUUAUCGUGGGGGAUAACGCAGCGAAAGUUGCGCUAAUACCGCAUCCGCCCUGCGGGGGAAAGCGGGGCACCGUAAGGCUUCGCGCGCUUAUAGCGGCCGAUGUCGGUUUAGCUUGUUGGUGAGGUAAAAUCUCACCAAGACGAUAGUCAGUAGCCGGUCUGAGAGCACGAUCAGCCACACUGGGACUGGGACACGGCCCAGACUCCUACGGGAGGCAGCAGUGGGGAAUUUUGGACAAUGGGGGAAACCCUGAUCCAGCAAUGCCGCGUGGGUGAAGAAGGCCUUCGGGUUGUAAAGCUCUUUUGUCAGGGAAGAAACAGCAGCUCUAACACAGUCUGCGAAUGACGGUACCUGAAGAAUAAGCACCGGCUAACUCCGUGCCAGCAGCCGCCGUAA